AAACCAACAGGGAUUGCCUCAGUAACGGCGAGUGAAGCGGCAAAAGCUCGAAUUUGAAAUCCUCUUCGGAGGAGUUGUAAUUUGAAGCUGGUUCUUUAGGGAGUUUUGUUUUUGGCUGCGGAAGUGCCUUGGAACAGGCCGCCGUGGAGGGUGAGAGCCCCGUAUCGUGGCCAGCAAGAUUUUCGUAUAAGGGCUAGCGAAGAGUCGAGUUGUUUGGGAAUGCAGCUCUAAGUGGGUGGUAUAUUCCAUCUAAGGCUAAAUAUGGGCGAGAGACCGAUAGCAAACAAGUACAGUGAUGGAAAGAUGAAAAGAACUUUGAAAAGAGAGUGAAAAAGUACGUGAAAUUGUUGAAAGGGAAGGGUAUUUGAUCCGACAUGGUAUUUAGAUGUCGCUUGCCCCCGUGGCGGGCGCUCCAUCUUUUUACUGGGCCAGCAUCGGUGCUGGGCGGGACAGGAGGUUUCUGUGAAUGUAGCCCUUCGGGGAACUUAUAGAACAGGAUUCAUACGUCUCUCCCCGGUACCGAGGACUGCGGGAAACCAAGGAUGCUGGCAUAACGAGCAAAUACCGC
rnacentral:rRNA from 1 species